UAGAAAUGAAAACUUUUAUAAACCAUCAUGGCUUUUUAAUUCGGUCCAGGACAACAAAAUAUUGUGUUGAGCAACUUUUACCUGCCAUGGUUUUAUUUCUGGUUGUCUCUUUGUUUAAGUUCUGACUUUGUUUUAUGUUUUGGGGGAUUGAAUGUUUUGUCUUUAAUUCAGUUUUCCUUGUAAAGUGUUUGGUUUUGUUUCUUCUUUCCAUAAAUCAUUUUUUAUCUUUAACCGGCAAUCAGGAAUCCAGAUUUGACUAAACCUUCAUCUCAUCCAAUCGGACUUGUCAUUGGUCUUCUUGUCGCUGCUGUUCUCAUUGUUCUCAUUGCUGGUUUAGUUUAUUUACGGACACGUUUGGAACGAUACAGACAUGAAGAUGAUCCAGAUGAACAUAUUGACCUGGAAGAAGACAAGAUCGUGAUUUAGAAGUGGGACAAGACAGACAGGAGGACAACAAAGUGAAACCAGAUGACAUCGAAUAAACAUCUGGAUUUUUUUUUUCUGUUACUCAUCCACUUAAUGCAAAAGAAGUUUUUUUUCUCUCUUUUAGGGGGUAGA